GCUUCGGAGGCCUAAUGGUUAGAGCGUCCGCCUUGGAUGCGCGAGGUCGUGGGUUCGAUCCCCGGUCGAGUCA